UAGAUAGAAGCCUGUUGGUUAGGGCACCUGGCUGUUAACCAGGUGAUCAUGGGAUCGAGGCCCAUCUGUCUAG
rnacentral:tRNA from 1 species